GAUAGAUAGAUAGAUAGAUAGAUAGAUAGAUAGAUAGAUAGAUAGAUAGAUAGAUAGAUAGAUAGAUAGAUAGAUAGAUAGAUAGAUAGUUUUGUCUUUAUUAAACACAAGCAUACACACACUCCUACAUAUCAGUGUUGUUAUGAAGAUCCAAACAAAAAAAUGGUUCACGGUUUUUCAGAUCUUCAAGCUUCAUUUAUUAAAACAAUUUUCAUAAAUGUGUUGUUCCUAUUAGUUGUUUCUUUUUUCAUCUACGUAUUUAGCAAAUAACGACUAUUAUGCUAUUAAUAAUUACUAUACACUAUAUUAAUAGUCUACUAUAAGAUGUGCUACAGCAGUACUAUAGUGCUGUGUUAAUGUUCUGGUAAAUGCAAAAUCAGCCGAAGUCAAUAUAAAUCUAAAAAGUUGUGUUGCCACAUCUCAUGAAGUACAGGCUUUAUUUUAAUGAUGGGAGCUGUCAACAUCAAGAAUGUAUAUAGGACUGGCUUCUACUGUGGAUAAUAACUCGUCUCCUUCCUGAACAUUAUAAUGGCUGGACAGUCCCAUGUUUUUUCAUACUUAUGUAUAAUAAUUGUUUGAACAAAUGAACCUGGCUUCUUCAGGCAUCAAGAAAUGUGUACCCAAGGAUGCACCAGACUUAUGGACGUCCACAAUUAUCUUUUUGAAAUCUUGUCUUGUCUUGUCUAUUUUGAUGUUUCGAUUAUGUCACACAGAGAAGGGGUGUAUUUGAGGUGUGCCUUUUGUGUUUUUAGUUAUGUCUGAGUUUUUCAAUUAAAGGUUAUGUAUCAUAGUUAUUACUUUAUAUCUCAAAAAAAGGUAAACAAGACUUACACCUUCAGACUCAAAAGGCCUGUUUACAUGACACAUUUUAAAGUGUGUGACAGAUAACUAAACAGCAUAUAUUGUCUGGGAAAAGCCGAGAAUAGCAAGACAAUUCUUUUUCAAAAACAGAGAGAAAUUGUUUUGGUUUUUAUGUGAGCAACGAUCGCUCAAGAUGUUUCUGCCAUCUUGUUAAAUCCCAGGUUAUACAAUUUUUAAUGAACUGCAUUUUAUCACUCAAAUAAACAUUUUUAGUUAAAAUGUCCCUUAUGAAAUGCCUUGCAAAUGUGUCAAUACCCCUUGAACUCUUUUGCAUUUUGUCUCAUUUUUCUACCGGCUUCAGUGUAUUUUAUUGGGAUUUUAGGAGAUAGGCCAACAGAAAGUAGUCCAAAAUAAAUAAAGAUAAAUACAAGGAAAACCGGUUCAAGGCUCCAAAAGACUUAAUACUGAGGGCAGAGCUUCAGCAGCAUCAUAACCCAAUAUACAACCAAAGCUACAAAUGGGAUUGAAAAGAAUAGUUCAGAAAUUAUUUUCAUGUAUCAGAAUGUCCCAGUCAAAGUCCAAACCUACGUUUAAUUAAGAAUCUGUGACAAAAUUUGAAAGGGAUGUUCACAGACUGUCAGGAUCUGGGUUGUGUUUGUGUUUUGUGCUUGCUAUAUGUGUUCAGUGUUCUCAGGUGUGUUUGGUGACGGGUGUGACUUAUUCUACUGAUUACUUUGAGGAGUACUUAAGCAGGAGCCUGCCAGCACUUCGAUGCCAGAGUGUUUUGCCCACAGUGGUAACAAACUCAAGCCAAACACUAAGUCUAUGUUUUGUUCUUCGACCUCGUAACUUUGUUUAUGCUCCUUCGCAGGCUAAGUAAACCUGAACCCUGGAUUUAUGUCACUGAAUACUGACUACGUGUCCGGAGUUCUUCCUGGAUGAUCAAGGCUAUCUACGUUCAGGGGAUUUCAUUUCCUAUCUACAGUCUUCGUUUGGAUUCGCAUCUAGCUGGCAGUUUCCUGCUACCUUCUCCUCCUGGACCAAGCCAUAAGCGUACCCUGUCCACCCUCCAACGUAAGCAUCUGCACACCGAACUCAGUCCUGUUUGCUCCGAGCUCACACUGAACAGCACCUAAAGAAACUUCUACAAACCUGGAUCCUGAAUGCCUCUUGCCCUGGUGACCUGACCAUACCUAUUUAUUGGAGAAUCAUCAGUUACGUUCCCGAUCAUCUUUGUCACAAUAAACAUCUUCUAUAUAUUCUGUUUGUGGGUCAGAUCUAUUGCAAACAAAAUGACAGACACUCCUGUCAACUCUGAGUUCAUUUCCUCCAUGCACACCAGUAAAAAUACGUUUGAAAAACAUGUAUUUUUGUCUUUUCCCUCACAAUUGUGUACAGCUUGGCUUUGGUCUAUUACAAAGCCACAAUAAAUUACACCAAAGCUAAUGAUUGUGAUGUGAUCAAAUGUAAAUAAGUUCAAGGUGUACACAUUUGCAGGGUACUUCACAUGUACAAGUUAAAAGCAUUUUCAGCCCUUAGUAGGCCAAACACACUGAUGUUGCCAAAAUUUGAUUUUGUUUUUUUUGAGUGGUUCAUGUUGAAAUAUUUACACAUAAAUCGUGUAAGGUGUUCAUCCCUGACUCUCCUUGGGGAAAUAAAAGACUCAGCUCUUUUUGGUUUAAGCUGUUUAGUUUCUUUAAUGGAAGAUGAGCACAAUAUAUCAGUGUGCAUUCACCAUGACGCAGCCAAUCAGAAGUCUUUAACUAUCUAAACCUGUUGUGCAUUUAUAUUGACCCAAAACCGAUAAUUAAAGGACAUUUGUUUUUUUUGGUUUUUUUUU